rnacentral:rRNA from 1 species
GACAGAGGGUGCGAACGUUGUUCGGAAUUACUGGGCGUAAAGCGCGUGUAGGCGGCAACGCAAGUCGGGCGUGAAAUCCCACGGCUCAACCGUGGAAGUGCACUCGAAACUGCGUAGCUAGAGUCCUGGAGAGGAAGGUGGAAUGCUUGGUGUAGAGGUGAAAUUCGUAGAUAUCAAGCGGAACACCGGUGGCGAAGGCGGCCUUCUGGGACAGUGACUGACGCUGAGACGCGAAAAGCGUGGG